rnacentral:rRNA from 1 species
UACGGGGGGUGCAAGCGUUGUCCGGAAUCACUGGGCGUAAAGGGCGCGUAGGUGGCUUUGUAAGUUUGCGGUGAAAGCCCGGGGCUCAACCCCGGGUCUGCCGUGGAUACUGCAAGGCUUGAGUACUGUAGAGGCAGGUAGAAUAUCGGGUGUAGCGGUGGAAUGCGUAGAGAUCCGAUAGAAGACCGGUGGCGAAGGCGGCCUGCUGGGCAGUAACUGACACUGAGGCUCGAAAGCGUGGGUAGCAAACAGG